rnacentral:rRNA from 1 species
AGAGUUUGAUCCUGGCUCAGGAUGAACGCUGGCGGCGUGCCUAAUACAUGCAAGUCGAACGCUUUGUCUUUAAUUGAUCUGACGAGCUUGCUCUGAUGUGAUUUUAUCUGACAAAGAGUGGCGAACGGGUGAGUAACACGUGGGUAACCUACCUCUUAGCAGGGGAUAACACUUGGAAACAAGUGCUAAUACCGUAUAAUACUAACAACCGCAUGGUUGUUAGUUGAAAGAUGGUUCUGCUAUCACUAAGAGAUGGACCCGCGGUGCAUUAGCUAGUUGGUAAGGUAACGGCUUACCAAGGCAAUGAUGCAUAGCCGAGUUGAGAGACUGAUCGGCCACAAUGGGACUGAGACACGGCCCAUACUCCUACGGGAGGCAGCAGUAGGGAAUCUUCCACAAUGGGCGCAAGCCUGAUGGAGCAACGCCGCGUGUGUGAUGAAGGGUUUCGGCUCGUAAAACACUGUUAUAAGAGAAGAACGGCACUGAGAGUAACUGUUCAGUGUGUGACGGUAUCUUACCAGAAAGGAACGGCUAAAUACGUGCCAGCAGCCGCGGUAAUACGUAUGUUCCAAGCGUUAUCCGGAUUUAUUGGGCGUAAAGCGAGCGCAGACGGUUAUUUAAGUCUGAAGUGAAAGCCCUCAGCUCAACUGAGGAAUGGCUUUGGAAACUGGAUGACUUGAGUGCAGUAGAGGAAAGUGGAACUCCAUGUGUAGCGGUGAAAUGCGUAGAUAUAUGGAAGAACACCAGUGGCGAAGGCGGCUUUCUGGACUGUAACUGACGUUGAGGCUCGAAAGUGUGGGUAGCAAACAGGAUUAGAUACCCUGGUAGUCCACACCGUAAACGAUGAGUGCUAGAUGUUCGAGGGUUUCCGC